rnacentral:pre_miRNA from 1 species
AUUUCCAAGCAGCAGUGUUGAUUGGAGCCUGGGAUCAGCUGGAUCAGCUGACCCCGGACUCCAAUCAAUGCUGCUGCUUUGA